rnacentral:rRNA from 1 species
UGAGGGAAUAUUGGGUCAAUGGGCGAGAGCCUGAACCAGCCAAGUAGCGUGCAGGAUGACGGCCCUAUGGGUUGUAAACUGCUUUUAUGCGGGGAUAACGUGCACCACGUGUGGUGUAUUGCAGGUACCGCAUGAAUAAGGACCGGCUAAUUCCGUGCCAGCAGCCGCGGUAAUACGGAGGAUGCGAGCGUUAUCCGGAUUCAUUGGGUUUAAAGGGUGCGUAGGUUGCCGAUUAAGUCAGCGGUGAAAGUCAGUGGCUCAACCAUUGAAUUGCCGUUGAAACUGGUUGGCUUGAGUACGUACGGGGCAGGCGGAAUGCGUGGUGUAGCGGUGAAAUGCAUAGAUAUCACGCAGAACCCCGAUCGCGAAGGCAGCCUGCCAGGCCGUGAC